rnacentral:rRNA from 1 species
GACGAACGCUGGCGGCGUGCUUAACACAUGCAAGUCGAACGAAGUGGCGAACGGGUGAGAAUAACGUGGGUAAACUGCCCUCCUUUUUGGGAGUAGCCUCGGAAACGGGGACUAAUACCCAAUAAAGGGGGAUGGGCUCUCGGCCUAUCAGCUUGUUGGUGGGGUGAGGGCCUACCAAGGCGGUGCCGGGUAGCCGGCCUGAGAGGGUGCACGGCAACGUGGGGACUGGGAUACGGCCCAGGGUAGUCAGGUGGGCGGCAGUGGGGGAUAUUGCACAAUGGGCGAAAGCCUGAUGCAGCGACGCCGCGUGGGGGAUGAAGGCUUUGGGGUUGUAAAACUCUUUCGGUAUCGAACGGGUAGGUGGAGAAGAAGCGCCGGCUAACUACGUGCCAGCAGCCGCGGUAAUAC